rnacentral:rRNA from 1 species
CAAUAAUCUGCCCUAAGGUCUGGGAUAAGAUCGGGAAACUGAUUCUAAUACCGGAUAGAAGAUAGGUACUGGAACGUCUUAUCUUCAAAAGCCUCGGCGCCUUAGGAUGAGUUGGCGGCUGAUUAGGUUGUUGGUGAGGUAAAGGCUCACCAAGCCUCAGAUCAGUAGGGGGGAUGAGAGUCCUAGCCCCGAGAAGGGCACUGAGAAACUGGCCCUAGCCCUAAGGGGUGCAGCAGGCGCGAAACCUUUCCAAUGCGCGAAAGCGUGAGAAGGGGAUCCCCAGUGCUUCGUCUUCGUGGCGAAGCUUUUGCCAAGUGUAAGGAUCUUGGCGAAUAAGUGGUGGGUAAGACGGGUGCCAGCCUCCGCGGUAAUACCCGCGCCACAAGUGGUGAUCGGCUUUAUUGGGUCUAAAGCGUCCGUAGCAGGUAUGGUAUGUCCUUUGUGAAAUUGCCCCGCUCAACGAGGCAGCGUGCUGGGGAAACUGCCAGACUUGAGACCGGGAGGAGAGAGGAGUACUCCAAGGGGAGCAGUAAAAUGUGAUAAUCCUUGGAGGACUACCGGUGGCGAAGGCGCCUCUCUAGAACGGUUCUGACUGUGAGGGACGAAAGCUAGGGGAUCAAAACGGAUUAGAUACCCGAGUAGUCCUAGCUGUAAACGCUGUGAGCUGUGUGUUGCGCGUUCUUUGUGUUCGUGCAGUGCCUAAGUGAAGAUGUUAAGCUCACCACCUGGGGAAGUACGGUCGCAAGACUGAAACUUAAAAGAAUUGGCGGGAGCUCACUACAAGGAGUGAAGAGUGCGGUUC